CGGGGCGUGGCGCAGCCUGGUAGCGCACCUGCUUUGGGAGCAGGGGGUCCCCAGUUCAAAUCUGGGCGCCCCGACCA
rnacentral:tRNA from 1 species